ensembl:misc_RNA Metazoa_SRP Metazoan signal recognition particle RNA
GCCAGGCACCCUGGGUGUGCCUGUAGUUCCAGCUACUCUGGAGGCUAAGCCAGAAGGAUCGCUUGAGCCUAGAAGUUCUGGGCUGCGGUGCGCUACGCCGUCCAGGUGUCUGCACUAAGUUGGGCUUCAAUAUGGUGACCUGUGGGGGCCAAGGGAUUACCAGGUUGCCUAAGGAGCAGUAAACCGACGUAGGAGGGAAAUGGAGCAGGUCAAAACUGCUGCACUGAUCAAUGGCAAGAUCCUGUCUGCAAGUAGCCACUGCACUCUAGCCUGGGCAACAUGAGACCUUGUCUUAA